rnacentral:rRNA from 1 species
GAUGAACGCUGGCGGCGUGCCUAAUACAUGCAAGUCGAGCGAAUGGAUUAAGAGCUUGCUCUUAUGAAGUUAGCGGCGGACGGGUGAGUAACACGUGGGUAACCUGCCCAUAAGACUGGGAUAACUCCGGGAAACCGGGGCUAAUACCGGAUAACAUUUUGAACCGCAUGGUUCGAAAUUGAAAGGCGGCUUCGGCUGUCACUUAUGGAUGGACCCGCGUCGCAUUAGCUAGUUGGUGAGGUAACGGCUCACCAAGGCAACGAUGCGUAGCCGACCGGAGAGGGUGAUCGGCCACACUGGGACUGAGACACGGCCCAGGCUCCUACGGGAGGCAGUAGUAGGGAAUCUUCCGCAAUGGACGAAAGUCUGACGGAGCAACGCCGCGUGAGUGAUGAAGGCUUUCGGGUCGUAAAACUCUGUUGUUAGGGAAGAACAAGUGCUAGUUGAAUAAGCUGGCACCUUGACGGUACCUAACCAGAAAGCCACGGCUAACUACGUGCCAGCCGCCGCCGUAA